CGGCAGACAUGAGGGUGCAGAGGGCAGGCUCCGGCGCUUCCUUCCCCAGGCCGGGCCGCCCGCUGAGGACGCAGAUGACAGGGAGGCAGCCUGCUCUUCCUGUCCGUGUCUGGGUGAAGGGAAACAGCACAAGCCUCGAGCGCCCACAAGCACAGCCCCUGCCCUGCCCCGCAUCCUCCCCGCCUGCACCCACCCUGAUGGCGCCCUGAUGUCACACAGCUCCUGCACAGGAUGUCACUGCGCAUGUCUGCACCGGGAAAGCGCUGCUUCCCCUCGGAAGCCCCAAGGCUUGGUGAAGCGAGAUGCUGGGCCAGAGGAAGCUGCGGGCCCUCGAGGCUGUCUGCCACGGUCGGAUCCAGCCCUCGGGACAGGGGCCAUGAAAAGGGACCGGGAAACGCAGAAUUCCAUCCGAGACUCUAAUGACACAGACGGCUGAGUGUCGGCAUAGGCAUAGGGAACAGCAGGUGACGCUUUAGGCUGUCCUGGGGCGCGGCGCACUCUCUCCAUGUUCCCACGACCUGCAACGAUCCUAGACCACCAGCAGCUAGGGAUGCAGACAGCGAGGCCCAGACAGGCCUGGGCCAGGCCCACAUCGCCCAGCCUCCGCCUCUGACUCACAGUGACUGUGGCAGGCGUGUGCAGCGUGGAGAAACAGCAGUGGGGCCCCACGCAGAGCUGGCUCCGAUAACCCGGUUUAGCCGGAGGAAAGAGGACAGCAGAUGAGGGCCGUCUAGACGGAGCACCUGUGUGAAGUCGCUGCCCCGCCGUGCUCGCUGAGGCUCAGAGGUCUCGCUGCCCUGGGCAAGCAGCCCAGACUCACCCAAGCCACCUCUGUCCUGCUGAUGUGCUUGGAAAUGUCACCACCCUCCAUGCGGCACUGGGCUCCCUCAGCGAGUCACUGUCAUCCACCGAGUGGACUGGGCUUUGUCCCUGCAUCUCUCCAUCCUCUGCUCCCUGGCUCUGCCCAGCACCGCGUCCUGUUAGAUCCCAAACCCAGCCCUCUUUCCUCUCCGAGGCCCCACACCUCCUACCCACCCUGGACAGCGACUCAACUGCUGCGGCUUCUGCUUCUGCCCCUGCAGGGCUGGGUCGGAGCACAGCACUCCCUCUGGGCCCACCCUGCCAUGUGGGGCCCCGCACCACCCUCCCGGGCACCUGGCCCAGCUUGGCCUCUGGGGAAGGAAGGUGCCCGUCCCUCCCCUGGGCACCCAGAUGUUCACAUUCUCCUCUGGUCACAAGAUUCUCCUUGGAAUUGCUUCUCUGGUGCGCAGCCCUGGCAUCGUCCUGAGCGCAGGGCCUGGUGGACACAUGGCAACCCGUGUGCCACAACCCUAAGCAGAGAGUAAGAAUGGCUUCGCUAAGCAGCUUCUGCAAUCCAUCUUGUGCCUAGACUUUCCA
rnacentral:lncRNA from 1 species